ensembl:lncRNA
AACAACAGAAUUUACAUCAAGGUCUUAUGGCAAAACAAGUGCAAUGGCUCCAGCUAACGCUUCCACUACUGACAGUGCAAAGACUGAUGUCUCUCCUCAGACUCUGCCCUACAUCCCCUUUGCUUUGGUCACUGUGAUCUUCCUCCACAUUAUCGUGGCUGUGGUUUAUUACACCAAGAGAAACAAAGGUGUUGUCAUCAUCAUAUAUUAUUUUACACAAAGGUAUUUAUAUCUGGGAUAAGCAGAGAGCAGCAGCACCCAGCCAUCUGAAAUCACACCUAAAAACAUUUGGAUUGGUGUUUAACCAUUUAUUUAUCAGAAAUGGUGAUCUGUGUGCUGCAGGUUGUACAGUGACAGAAUUUGUUGGUCACAGAUUUUGGUGUAACACCAUCAUUUAACCAUCUGAUGGCUCAGAGCAAUGUCUGUUUCUGCAUAUAUUCUUAAAUUCACCUUAAAGGUACUUACAUGUUUGAUAUCACAGUGUUCAGAACAAUCUCAGCUAUCUUCCUAAUGAGGUAGAAUUUGACAUAGAUCACUGUAUAAAGUAAUAUUAUGGAAUAUGGAAAUUUUCCAUCUCAUAUGAAAAAAUACCUUUACUCAUGUGGACCUGUUUGGUGAUUGAAAUAGGUUUACCAAAGUAGUGAAAUACAUGAAUAAAGUAAUAUUAAAAUGUCUAAGAAAUGUCUAAAAUGACAUUGUGUACAUUUAUUGAGUAAAAGCAUGGUCUGUU